rnacentral:rRNA from 1 species
GACGAACGCUGGCGGCGUGCCUAAUACAUGCAAGUCGAACGAACCGCGACUAAGUGCUUGCACUAAGUCAAGGUGAGUGGCGAACGGGUGAGUAACACGUGGGUAACCUACCUCAUAGUGGGGGAUAACAGUCGGAAACGACUGCUAAUACCGCAUAGGACAUAGGAUCACAUGAUCCAGUGAGGAAAGGUGGCGCAAGCUAUCGCUAAGAGAUGGACCCGCGGUGCAUUAGCUAGUUGGUAGGGUAAAGGCCUACCAAGGCGAUGAUGCAUAGCCGACCUGAGAGGGUGAUCGGCCACAUUGGGACUGAGACACGGCCCAAACUCCUACGGGAGGCAGCAGUAGGGAAUCUUCCGCAAUGGACGCAAGUCUGACGGAGCAACGCCGCGUGGGUGAAGAAGGUCUUCGGAUCGUAAAGCUCUGUUGUUAGAGAAGAACAGCGCAUAGAGUAACUGCUAUGCGUGUGACGGUAUCUAACCAGAAAGCCACGGCUAACUACGUG